CACACAUUUACAUCUCUUAUAACUUUUAACAAUAAUUUGAGUAUUUAAACCCUAAGAAAAUCAAAAUAAUGAACAAGAAUUUUUUUUGGCAAAAGGUGAAAUUUCAUUUAGAAUGAAGUGGGUCUUGCUCAUUAUUACAGGAAAUAAAUAUUUACAUAAUACAUUGAGAUAGGAGGAAAUCAGUGUCAUUAACAGUGUACCCCCACUGGUGUAGUGGCAUUGAUCCAGACUGUUACAGCAUUUCUUUGGAAGGGGUUUGAGAAUUGAGACAGUGUUAUCAAUUCCCUCCUCUAGCUCAAAAAAGAAUCUAUAUCAAGUUUCCAGCAAUAAUCGAAACUCUGCUGUGCAUUCCAAGCAUAUCAAUUUAUGUUAUUUGUUGCACUCGGGCAAACACACUUAAAUGAUCUAAGUGGAGAACUACCAAACCGCAGAAUUCCAUCCAAAAGUUGAUGGGUCCCUCUUAUCUAUACCAGCACAACCACAUCAAAGCAUCCCCUUCGAAACAGAAUGCAGCGAUGUUAACCUUCUGAGUUCUGACAGCUGUUUCAUGAGAAAAAACUCCUUUCAACUAUGGAUCCAUCUGUAAGGAUCGUCGUUGUUAAAAGUAGGAAAAUCAUAGUGGAAUUUGAAGGUGUUGAGGAUGGAUUUGUAUGUUGAAUGCCUGAGAUGGGUAAAGCGAUUGUUGAUUACAAGUUUACAAUGCAGCAGACGUAGCAAAUAAAUGAGUGAAUGUUCAAUAUUUAACAAUUGACAGGCUGGGAUGGGGGAUCUAGGAUUGGGGUGAGUGUUGAAAUUAUUUACUUUCAUGGAUAAAAAUAAACUAAAUGACCAACAUUAUCCAAAAUCCCUAUUAUCUGGGAUCAUGUCAAUUUUCUUAAAAUACUGUGUAUUUUGAUGCAUGGAGUUAACAAAAAAACUUAAGAGACAUGAUCGUGAGUUCGUGACACAAAAUCUCAUAUUGAUGUACUUGAUUGGGAAUUAUUUAUUUUGCUCAGAUUAGUGCUUGCCAGAGCUCUGAUCGACGUUCGUCGGAGGUGCUCUUUGGAAGGGAGGCUCGAUGGUGGUCUGCAGGGGAAAACGUCUGGGGUUCGUGACACAAAACCCCUAUUCCCAAUUUCUAAUUCUUUUUUUAAGAUUUUUAAUUAUUAAAUGAAUUAAUAGGUUAAACGGAUCCAACUGGAUCCGCCUAACCUGACCGGCGUCUGAAGGUGCUGGCCAGCAUGAUCGCCUGAAAAACUAUGUAUGGGAUCAUGUCAAUUUUCUUAAAAUAAUGUGUAUUUUGAUGCAUGGAGUUUAACAAAAAAAACUUAAAAGACAUGAUCAUAAAUUCGUGACACAAAAUCUCAUAUUGAUGUACUUGAUUGGGAAUUGUUUAGUACUCAGAACCUAUCGUUCAAGUGAGAUUGAGUUUCAAUAAAUAUUAUAAAAAGAACAAAUGAACACAAGUUUAGUCGACAGAAGUUACUAAUGCUAAUUGAUAACAAAGGAAAUUGAGUAGCAUACCCGAGAGUGGGUUUCUCCUUUGAGCUGCGUGAAAAAAGAAAUUUAUUAUGUUAAUAUGACAAUGCAAUGUAAAAAUAUAAAAAUAUGAAAUUAUAAAAGAAGCCAAUAAACUAUGCAUUCCCCCCUUUAAUACAAGAAUUUCAACAGAUAUCUAAAAACGAAUACUUUGGUGACUAAAAGCAAAUCAAAAGUAUAAAAAAAGGGGGAGGGAAGAUCGAAUCCUAAACUCCAGCUAAUCCACAAAAAAAACUACAGAGAUGAUCAAAACAGUGUCCAAAAAUCGAACAACAACAGAUUCAGAACCAAAAAACAAUAAAUUACAUCUAGAUCCAACACAAAACACCUCUGAAACACAGCGUCAUAUACGAGAAAAAAACACUAAAGAAGAAGAACAUGAGGUAUGAGGAAAAGAAGAUCGAAGAGAAGAUUUUUUUGACGCCAAUACCUCAUAAACCAAGCCUCGAAAAAUCGACGAAGAGCGAGUGCUGAACGGAGAUCACCUGGGGCACACGUGGAUGGAAGAAAAAAAGAGGAGAGGAUUUGAGCGUUCCGUUAUCGUUUAUAUACAGUCAGCCAACAACCACUUGGUACUUGCAAACGAUGAAACAAAAAGCC
rnacentral:lncRNA from 1 species